rnacentral:rRNA from 1 species
AAAUGAUGACACAAUGUGAUUUCUGCUCAGUGCUCAGAAUGUCAAUAUGAAGAGAUUUAACCAAGCGCGGGUAAACAGCGGGAGUAACUAUGACUCUCUUAAGGUAGCCAAAUGCCUCGUCGUCCAAUUAGCGACGCGCAUGAAUGGAUUAAUGAGAUUCCCACUGUCCCUAAUUACUAUCUAGCGAAACCACAGCCAAGGGAACGGGCUUGGCAAAAUUAGCGGGGAAAGAAGACCCUGUUGAGCUUGACUUUAUUCAGAAUUUGUGAAAUGGUGCUCGAGGUAUAGAAUAGGUGGGAGUGUAACGAAAUUGAAAUACCACUACUUUUGACGUUGUUUUACUUAUUAAAUAAAAACUAAAAGAUUAAUAAUCUUGAUUCUAGAAUUAACGAAUAUUACAUGUUGACUCCAUGUGGGUUAACCUCUGAUUUGGGAAGUUUGUUU